UACUCCUACGGGAGGCAGCAGUAGGGAAUCUUCCGCAAUGGACGAAAGUCUGACGGAGCAACGCCGCGUGAGUGAUGAAGGUUUUCGGAUCGUAAAGCUCUGUUGUUAGGGAAGAACAAGUGCAAGAGUAACUGCUUGCACCUUGACGGUACCUAACCAGAAAGCCACGGCUAACUACGUGCCAGCAGCCGCGGUAAUACGUAGGUGGCAAGCGUUGUCCGGAAUUAUUGGGCGUAAAGGGCUCGCAGGCGGUUUCUUAAGUCUGAUGUGAAAGCCCCCGGCUCAACCGGGGAGGGUCAUUGGAAACUGGGAAACUUGAGUGCAGAAGAGGAGAGUGGAAUUCCACGUGUAGCGGUGAAAUGCGUAGAGAUGUGGAGGAACACCAGUGGCGAAGGCGACUCUCUGGUCUGUAACUGACGCUGAGAGCGAAGCUGAAAACCCUUGU
rnacentral:rRNA from 1 species